GAUGAACGCUGGCGGCGCGCCUAACACAUGCAAGUCGAACGAUUAAAGCACCUUCGGGUGUGUAUAAAGUGGCGAACGGCUGAGUAACACGUGGGCAACCUGCCCCUUUCAUUGGGAUAGCCACGGGAAACCGUGGAUAAUACCGAAUACUUCGAGACUUCCGCAUGGAAGACUCGAGAAAGCUCCGGCGGAGAGGGAUGGGCCCGCGGCCUGUUAGCUUGUUGGAGGGGUAACGGCCUACCAAGGCAAUGAUGGGUAGCUGGGUUGAGAGACCGACCAGCCAGAUUGGGACUGAGACACGGCCCAGACUCCUACGGGAGGCAGCAGUGGGGAAUCUUGCACAAUGGGCGAAAGCCUGAUGCAGCGACGCCGCGUGCGGGAUGAAGGCCUUCGGGUUGUAAACCGCUUUCAGCAGGGACGAGGCGAAAGUGACGGUACCUGCAGAAGAAGCCCCGGCUAACUACGUG
rnacentral:rRNA from 1 species